AAUUUCUAGUUAGACAGUAACAAUAAUUGAAAUUUGAGGGUUAAUAUCUUCUUGAUUAAACAGGAUAUUUGCAGCUCUAUUUACGAGUACAUCUGAAGAUUCUGAACAACCUCAUUUUGGUGCGCAAGUCAUCUAAGUCCAAAACAGAUAAGGAAGCUUUGUCGGGCCCACAUUGUAUUUCCACCAACUUGUCUUUCGAAGUGGCUAAGGAACAUAGUGAUGGAUAAGAGUUGGAUUCGUAUGUCAAGGGUGAGCAACGAAUACUUAAGUGGAGCUGUGAAAUUCCUAGAUUUUGCAUUUGCAAAUGCAAGUAAUAGAAGGAG